UCAACGUUGGUUUUGGCCAAUGUAACAAGAGCCUUAAAUCCACCGCAGCAAGCAGGGUCGAGUGUACCCCCAUUAACAACAAAACUGAGGCAUGGAUAGAGGUUACUGGACACCGUAUCACAAGAAAUUUGUGCCUGUCCUCCUGGCCAAAACCCCAUGACCAACAUGACCAUGGAAACCACUAGUGUUGCUUGCUUGAUGAGUUUUGAUGAUUUGGCCAUAAUUUUGAUGGGAUUGAUUGGUAAUUUUUGAGAAAACAAACUGAUUGAUCGUUUUUUUUUUUUUUUUUUGGGAGUUGGAGGUUUUCACUAGGGCUGUUACACAGCUUUAUGGCAAUUUGUGCUUGCUAUUUAUAUGUGGCGAUUUUAGUUUCUUUGAGCUGUUGUGAUUCAAUGGUUUGACCAAUUAAUUAGCUAAUUUAUGAUUUAAUUUGUCUCCGUCCAUGCGUUAGUUCUCUUAUCAUCAAUGUAAUUACAUGUCAAUUAAUAUAUAGGGCAAAUCAAUUCACAAAUUUACGUUCGAGAUAACGUAAAAUAAUUAUAUUAUGCAUACUCCUCCAAUAAUGUACAUUAGUAACGGUACAGUAGAUUGCGGAUUGGGCAUUUAAAAGAUUCUCAAAAUCAACAAUGAAAUUUUAGAAAAUCUGUAUGUUGUAAUUAUGUUUUUAUAUGAUGUAAAUUCUGCCCUCUGAAAAUAACAUUUCUGCAUUAAUGUACCAAGACGAUCAAGUUUCUUCUUCUUUUUCUUUGUUACCUGUGUUUUUCUACUUUAAAUGUUAAAUGUUAAAUGGCAGUUUGACACCACACAAAUGAGGGAUUUUUGCAGCAUUCUUGAGCUGAUUAUCAGGGGCACUUUGAGCCAGAGAUUUUAAGCAAGAACAUACACAUUGGCGAUCGUCCGUGGUCUUAGCCAAACUGAUUUAGAGUCUUAAUCCCGCUGCAGCAAGCAGCUGCAACUUUCCCUCCUUUCAUAAUAAUAAAACUAAGGCAAGGACAUUGUUGACUGUACCACAAGAAAUUUGAGCUUGCCCGCCAUGGAAAAAAACUUCAUAAACAACAUAGGUAUGAAAUAAAUACAACCAUUAAUGGUUUGAGGAGUGAGGAUAAUUUGGCUACAGUGUCCAAUGCCAUGGUUCAUUGCGAAGAAAGAACUUGAAUUUUUUUCGUUAUGUUUGUGCUUGCCUUGCUAUCUUGCCUGCAGAAAUGCUUGCCAAUUUAUGGGGUGAUUAGACAACAAAAUGGGAUCAGAUGGGCUAAAAUUGCUUCCCUUCUGGAUAAUGAUGCUUGCCAAACUAGUCAGGCCUAACUAGCUAACUUACACCUGCUGGUACGUAUUUCCAACUUCCACAUCGUCAUGAACUCGUGCCAAACGUUAAGCAAAAAGGUCGCAGUCUCCCUUACGUUGCCUGGAGGAGGACGACUGGUUUCUUAACAUGGGCAUCCCGAAUUUGGGUUCAGAAUAUUCUAACUUCCCACACCUUAAAAAAAAAAAAGAAGAAAGAAUGAAUGAAAACUCCCACAUGCAACAUCAGUUUGUAGCUAUAAUUUUGGUUUCUUUUAGUUUGUUUAGGAGUCCAAUAUUUUAAUUGUUGUUUUUCGGAAUAAGAAAAUGGAAUUUGGUGUAAGUGAUCAACCAUAACUCUUCAACGUUAACAAGGCUUCAGAUGCAAAUCAUGGUCAACUGCAUAGUUUCACAUACUGUUAGUUCGUUUGUGUUAUACCUUCUUUAUAUUUUAGAAAAAAAAAAAAGGGGUCUGUAACUUAAUUUGUCCCCCAACUUUAGCUCUUGAUCCUAUAUUGCCCCUUAUUAAGGUCAGGGACAUAAUCAGGAUUUUUAUAAAGAUAAGGGACAAAAUAAGUACAUGAGAUAAAGUUGUGGGACGAGCAAAGUCAUUUAUCAAUAUAUAUAUAUAUAUAUAUAUAUUGUAACAAUUAUUAUUAUGUAAUAUAUAUGAGAUAAAAAGAAAACCAGAAAAUCACGUAUUUCACAAAAAGAUUUUCAAAAAUUUUUCCAAGUAAUGGGAAUCCAAACGGAUUUCAAAAUACACCUCCUAUUUGAUGCAAAAAAAAAAAAACCUCUAAAUUUGAUUAUAUUUUUCUUAAGAAUCCAAGGAAAUGAUCACCCUUUGCCAUAGAAUAGUAUUAAUUAGAUUUCAGUUAUCCAUUUGGAGCUAGAAAAGCACGUUAGCUUUCAUAAUCCAACAAUAACGUUGUUUUAAAUGACCUCUGCAUUGUUAUAAACAAAACGGCAUCGUUAACGUGCUGAUCAUGCGAACUGUCUUUUCGCUUUUGAAAACGUUCAAAAGCUGAAAUUUGACGCAGCUUUUUGACUAUAAGGUUGAAAUGUUGAAGAGCAGAUUAUCUGGAUGGCCACCAGACUUUUGAAAUCGUUGAGUUUUAACUAUUGAACUGUUAAAAAUUUGAUUUUGACAAUUGAACUAUUUAAAGUUUGGAUUUUGAAUCAUUCCGUUAGAUUUCACCGUUAAAUAUAACAGAUCUGACUGGUCGCACGACUCACGAGAUAAAAAUAUAGGGCAUGGUUAUCGAUUAAAUUUGACGGAAUAGCCCGAAAUCUAAACUUUAGAUAAUUCAGUAGCUAAAAUCUGACUUUAAUAAUUCAGUGGACAAAACUCAACGAUUUCAAAAGUUCAUUGGCCAUUCAGAUAAUUUGCUCAAUAUUGAAUCUGUCAUCCACUUUGGUAAUUGUUGCUUUCUGUUGUUAUUCACUAGAUUUAAAUUAUUAACUUACUACUUUUCCAUUAUAUGGCCUGAAAAAAAAAGGCAUAAAGCAUCAAAUUACCAUUUGGAUAUAUGAAAAAGACUAUAUCGCCUUAUCGCUUCAAUUUUGUGCUCAUGAGAACAUAAAGCUAUAAAAUGGCAUAGAUAUUCUUUAUUGUAAUUAUUAGAUUGGGCAUUAGUGACUUUUUUUUAAUGAUGCAAAAGUGAAUAGGAUACGAAAUUUGAACAUAUUAACCAGGUCUAGAAUACGGCUUCAAAUUUGAAAUCACUUGGAAGAUUAAUCUUACAACCCCCAAAAACAUGAAGAUUCAAUAGUGAUGCAAGACAUCCCAAGCAGCAGCCAUCAAGUGCUCAAUAAUGGAACUUGACCCUAAACUUAGAAUACUGAUAAGUACCUAAAUUAAUAGGAAGCUUUAUACCAAGAAGAAUUUGCAGCUUCUUGAUUUCAUGGUGUUAAAUGAAUUGUGUGCCACAUAUUUUAUGCAAAUCGAAGAGUGUCUUGUUACGCAUGAGUCAAAGUGAAAGUUUUUCAAAAAAGUCUAAUAAUUACGCAAAAUACUAGAAAAUAUCAAUUUAUUUCAAGCUAUUCAAAGAAUUAAAAAAUGAAAUUGUUUUUUUUUUCACCAACCCUUCUCUCAUUUUACGAAUAUAGCGUGGAAGGAAAAUGGAAUAUUGGAUGCCAAUGCUGAAGAAAUUAUUGCUCUCUAAGUUAACAAUUCGACAUGAUCCAAAAGACGAUAAAUAAGCUCUUGUCUCUUUUCUUUUUUUUUUUUUUUCUUUAUUUUAACAAAAAGUUGAGACAAGAAAGUUGGAGAAUGAGAUAUUAAGACUGAAAAUGGGAAAUAACAUUCUUAGGAAAGUACCAUCUAUGCACUUCUUUCAUAUCUUUUGAUUAUCAAAACGAUUAACAAGCCCACAGUGGUUUAAACCCAAAAAGAAAAAAAUAAAGCCACCUUAGGAUUCAAUUUUUUUGCGAAAUUGUCUGGGAUUCAAUCAUUAAAAAUGUGUUAUCUUAGAAUUCAAAUUUAUCACUUCCUAGUUAUAUUUGAGCUAGUAACAUUAAAAGAGUACAUCUAUAAGAGAAUUCUGCUGUAAUACAACCAAGCCUAAAUACAAUUUAUGGGGCUUAAACCAUGGAGCGUGAUCUUAUGGGAUAAAGUUGUUUUCUUUCUGGAUAGUGAGAUGUGGUUAAUUUGUUUGUUUGUGCAUUCUAGUAGUCCUAAUUUUCAACAAAUUAAUUCUAAAAUGGAAGGAGUAGAACAAUUAUUUGACUAUUUUGUACCAAAGAUAGGAAGUGCUUCGUGUUAGUCCAGACCAAAAAGGUUUUCUUGGAUGUACGGGACAAGAUGGCAAAUUGGACCAAAUGAGAUAAAUGUUUACAACACUGAGACAAAAAAAAAAGGGCCCAUUUCGUGAGUUUGGCAUCACAAAUUUGGCAGAGAAUUGUGUUAGAACAUUUUGUAACCUCCCACGUCGCAUUAAUUUGAUACACUUUUGCGUUUCUGUAUUUUGUCAGUGCGACAAUAUUCCAAAAAUCAAGUCCAACUAUCUCAAUUUUUGCACUUCCGACUAAGAAACAAGGAACAGGGUUGUGAUGAAUUAAUCGAGUUACUCGACUUGAGUUCAUGAGUAACUCGGUCAAGAUACUUGAUAAGGUAAUCGAGUCGAUUUUGAAUAAGAAAAAAAAAUCAAAAUUCGAAUACUUAUCGGCUCUCUUAUCAAAUUUAUAAUAUAAAUUAUUUAUAAUAUAAUUUAUAAUCAUUUAUUAUAAAAUUGUGAAAUUUAUUAAAAAAAUUGAUUGAGUUCAAUUUGGUUAAGCUUGAGCUCGAAUUCAAGCAAGAUAAAAUAACCUUGAACUCGAGGUCAAUGUCAACUUUGAAGAACUCGAUAUCAAUGAACUCGAGUUCGAGUUCGAAUUCAAAUAUUUUUAUUCGAAUAGAAUUCGAUUCGACUCACUCUUCUUGAUAGCAACUUUAAUAAGGAAGCGUAUGUAUUCUCCAUCGUAUCUUAACGUAGUUGGACAUACGCGCGCACACAGAAUAUAACAAGACAUCAGAAAUUAAAACAAAAUUGCAAAAGUGAAUAUACGAAUCGGAAUUUUUCUUCAGGAAUUUAUGCUCCACAAAACAUUCAUAAAGCAUACUAAAAGUUUAUCACUUCAAUUUUUCAUUGAUAGCAGAGAAAAAAAUCACUUGGAAGAAUCUUAUAACCCACAGCACCAAUCCAGAUUCCACUGCAAAGCUUCCCCAAGCAACAGCUGUAAGGUACCCUCAGUAAAGCAAGUUGAUCCUGCAAUAUACAGUACAAAAAGUAGAACAGUUGUUAAGACUUUAAAUACUAAGAAAAGGCUACUUGACAGGCAAAAACAAAAAGACAAGCAAGAAGAAAUUUUUUUUAAACACGCAUGCAGUUUUUUUUUUCAUCGUGUUAAAUGCUUUGGAUUUGACAAUUUAUGAUAUCUAGGUAGAUGGAUGAGUGUUUUGUCACGUAUGAGUCCAAGUGACAAGUUUUGGAAAAAGUUUUUUUUUUUUUUGGAAAAAUUUGGAAAAGUUUGUUAGCUACUACUUGUAAAUAUGAAUUGGUUUGAUGAUGUCAUUCCAAGAAUUAAUUUAAGGAGUGAAAUUGAUUUCACACUUUCAACAACCUUCUUCCGUUUGCUUAAAAAAAAAAAUUCUUUCCUUCAAAAGGAAUGAGCAGUGCUAAAUAGAAAUUUUUUAUUUAUAUAAUCCACAUGUGUCUGCAUUUCUUUUUACAGUAUAUGACUAAUCCUGUUUGAGUUCCUUCAGGCCCCUUACGAGAGGAAUCUCUCUCAACGUUGUCUUUUUCAUUCUUGUGAUUUUCGAAUCCAAGACCUCAUAAUUAAAGAAUGCAAGCCACUUCCGUUUACGCUAACAUCAUCCGUCGGUAAAGAGAACUUGCAUAAGAGAGUGAGAUUACUUUGAACAGUUGAUGUCACGGGUAAUGUUAAUUUUUGGAAUUUUAACACUACAAAUUCUAGGGAUGCUAUUAGCAUUCUUGAUUUGAUCGUCAGUAGCCGACCCAAGAAAGGGUUUGAAGCAAAAACAAACACGCUGACGAUCACCUUUGGUUCUUGCCAAGCUGACGAUAUCCCGGACUCCUUUGCUGCAAGCAGGAUCAGCUUGUCCCCCACUCCCAACAAAGAAGGCAGGUCACAAGACAUUUGCACUUGCCCUCUACUGUAGAAACUCAUAAUCAACAUGGACAUGAGAACUACUAGUGCUACUCUUUUGAUUAGUCCUGAUGAGUUAGCCAUAGUUGUGAUUUCCAUGGGAUCAGUGAUUUUGAGGAAACAAAACUUCUUGGGGCUCGUGGAGGUUUUUCGCUUGAGUUAUUACAUGGCAUAUAGCAAUUUUGCCUAGUAUUUUGUAUAGGCAGAUAGGCGAUAGAAUGGAUGAGAAGGGAUAGUAUUUAUUACAUGGCUUGUCCAUUAAAAAAGUCUUAAUUUGGGAUUCCAAUUACUCAAAUGUGUGAACAAUUUAUUGGCUAAUCUAAGCUGUAAAUUGUCUUUUUAUCCUUUCUUGGCUGUAUCAUCCCCAUGAACAAGCCAAGGGUCUCCAGAAAAUAUGGCAUGUAUAGACAUAUCAUAAAUGUGAAUAUUUUCCAUAAUCAAUCUGUGAACAAUAUUAUGUUAAGUGAUGAAUAACUUUCCAUAUAUAUGUAUAUACGAAUUCAUACAUAUAUGCUUGAGAUCUAACAUAUAUAAUACAUAACAUUUGGCAUAUUCUUUCACUGGUAUUAAUAAUGAUAAAUUUUUACAAUCCAUUCAAGAUUGCAAAGUGAUGCAACGCAUCUCAAUUGUCCAUCAAGCUCACUUCACCCUGCAAUACAAUUUUGCAGUUAGGCACAUUAAGUAUUUAAUUAGAAAACAUUGCAAAACUCAAUAUACAAAUCAAUCCUCCUCAAGAAGGUCACAACACGAAAGGAGGUGCAUGAGCAUUCAACGAGAUAACUAGGAAGGGCUAGCUGCAGUCGUCCCCUUAAGACUUUAGAAAGUUUUCAAAUAAGUACCACUUGAAAGUUCAUCAGUUUCCCCCACCAAAUUGUAAAGAUGUUUUAAUUGUAUUGAUUAUGGAAUGAUUUAUACGUGAUAAUUUUUGGCCCUGAUAUUAGAAGCUCUGCAUUCAUUUAUGAAGACUAUAACCAUUUUCUUUUUUCUUUCUUGGCUUUUCUAUUUUCAUACGCUCAAACCUGUAAACUCUGAUGUCGAAAUCUGUACAAUAUAUAAAGCAAGAGGAGCUCUACAUGGCAUCAACACAAUUUAAUUUGUCAUCUUUUAAACAUCCAUUUAUACCCUUAAACUUAUCAAUAGAAAAACACACUUCCAAGAGGAAGACGAUUUAUCCCUAGCUAGUACAUAUUCAGUUCUACGUUUCUAACACUUUCUGAAACACUUUAGAACUGCAAAAUUGGUAUGCACUGCCUAAACUUAUUCAAUGAAUACCAUUUGUAUCUAAAAAAAAUUGCCAUCGUGGAAAAUUUCAUCCUUCGAUAAGUACCCAUGUUCUAAAAAACCUUCCACACUUUUUUGUAAUUUCUUCUUCAUGUUUUUUUCGUCAUCUUGUACAAUUAAAAAGUUUUUUUUUUCGUAAAUUUCAAUACAGUAGAAUUGUAUGCCUAGAACACUAGUGAUUAUAGUGGGAAAUAUAGAGAUUAAAGAGUGUGCAAGAUAGAGCAUUACUUUGAGCAGUCGAUGUUGCGAGAAAUCUUGUAUGGGAUAUUAACACCACACAGAUGAGGGAUUUGUGCAGCAUUCUUGAGCUGACCAUCAGUAGCACUCUGAGCAACAGAUUUCAAGCAAGAACAAAUGCUCUGGCGAUCAGUUUUAGUCUUAGCCAGGCUGAGUAGAGUCUUAAUCCCACUACAGCAAGCAGGUGCAACUUUUCCUCCAUUCAGGACGAAGCUAAGGCAUGGAAACAGGUCGUUGUCAACAGUGUCACAGGAGAUUUGUGCUUGCCCUCCAUGGGAGAAACUCAUGAUAAGCAUGGAUACGAACAUUACAAGAGUCCCUAGUUUGAGGAGUCCUGAUGAAUUAGCCAUACUUGAGUUUGCCUUCAAAGUAAGAAUGGUGAAGAAAGAAACUGAUCUUUUCUUCUGGACCUGGAUUUUUACACUUGGGUUGCUAUACAGACUAUAGCAGUUUGAAUACAAUUUAUAGAGGUGACCAGCCAAUAGAAUGUGAUGCGUUGGCGUAGAAAUUGUUUCCUUUUUGAUAGUGAUGUGUGGUGUGUACCUUAAACAAUGAACAAUUAUUUGGACUAUCUAUCUGGUAGCAUUUCACAGGAAGUUCUUCUUCUUCUUUCAAGUAAAGGCAUCAAAUUAUAUGAGAGAAAAUCUAGAUUGGUUGUUAAGAUAUUAGUCAUAGCCGUAGUUUUGAAACUAAAACUUUGCUGGGAUAUAGAGGACUAGUCGCGGAAGAUAAAGAAGAAAGUUUGGCUUAAUUUUUAAGGCAGUUAUACUUCCCUGGAUGAGGGGCUAAUGUAGCAACUGUGGCAUCACGAAAUUGGGUAGAGAAUGUGCUAUUAUAACAUUUUGUAACAUUCCAAAUAGACCAUUCGAUCGUUAGGCAGAAAAAAAAAAUUUUCUUCUAAAUAUUCUUUUUACACAUUUUUCAAUCACCUUUUAACCUUACAUUUAUCACAUCCUACUAUCGUAAUUUUUUCCCAAAACAUCCCCUAAAUAUGCAAUCCAAGUGGGCUUUUUUUUUUUUUUUUUUUUUUUUUUUUUCUAAUAUGUUAGUAAGACACCAUUUCAAAAUAGUUUACAGAGUCCAACCAUCUUAAUCAUUGCAUUUUUUAGCAGUAUCAAGGAAGCUGAUUUAAUUAAUCAGCCAAUAAAUAAGUUCCCAAAGUACAAAAGACACCAGAUACAGAAAAAGAUCAACAUUACUUAGCUAUCAAGUGAAAGGGUUGUAUAGCCUCUUGGCUGUUGUUAAACGGCAAAGUUGCCUUGCCAGACCGCAUAAAAUGAAACUUCGUUCUACUUAGGAUGUAUCGCCCCUUCGCUGUUGUUAAACAGCAAAGUUGCCUUGCUAGAUCACAUAAACUAAAACUUCGUUCUACUAACUGAUGCAGCUGUUAGACAAGAACGUUAGAACCCAUGUCCAAACAAUCAUCAACUUUCGCAUUUGUUGCUUUUUUUUUGGUUCUAAAUUAAUACACUUGGAUUGGAGAGUUUCCUACCAACCAGUGAAGUCUAUGUUAACAAACUCAAAAAUAACCCCAAAAGCAUUAUUACCCCAAAAACAUUAAUUAUAUACAAGUUCAAAGAUACCUAAUAAAUAAAUAAAAACCAACACCCUCUUUUCUCUUCUACCCACCACCUCCCACCUCCCACCAGCCACCACACGUCACCAUCGCCACCUCCUUGCCUUCCUCCUUUUUGCACUGCCGUCAUCCCCUCAAAAAUACUUAUAGAAAAGCUUUUGAAAAACACCCAAUCUAUAUGGAGCUACCACAUUCACACGUAGACCCCUUAUCCGGGGUUACUCGAUUUUUAAGGAGAAAAAAAAAAUGAGUUGUAUCAAUAAUGUAGCGCUAAAUAAUAGUUUUGUGCGAGUUAAUAAACGAAGUGAAAAUCAAGAUCACCGACUUGUCUUUUGUUACCAAAAGUCAAUGGUCAGGACUCAUCAGAGUUUUCCAGAGUGCCGUUUGAAACAGGGAAUCAGAGGACGGCAGUCGGACGGCAGCAGAUGUGGACUUGUAUGAAGCUGACUGCUACGUAUCUAAUCCACCAAUCAUUUUAACGUGGUUGUCGACAACAGAGCAAGCAAAUUCAUCCAUACCAUGUUGUUAAACAAGCCAUUUCUUUCAACGCAAAUGGUCAAUGAAGUUCAUUAUCACUAGUAUAUGGAAUCUUUAUACUUUUAGCCUAGCAAAAACAGAUGCAGGACUAAAUAGAAUGAGUUGGGCAGUGUAUUUAAUUGUCAAAAAGCAACAUCCAAUGGCAGUAAUUAAUUGGUGGUUAGAUUUUAUUUAAAACUUCAUCACCAGGCACUAACAUUUUCCGUAGAAAUUUAGAAAAAUGUGUUUAAAUAUUGUAAUAUUGUGUACCAGAUCUAUUUUCGUCUACGUUCGAGUACUUGAAUCACUUAAGGAUCAAAAUUUAGGCACCAAAUUUUACUCUUCCAAGAAUCAAGGAAUGACAUUGGUUCUUCAUUUUCACCAACCUUGUUCCCUUUUAGGGAAUUUACUUGGUUUUAGUUUAAUACGAGCUGAUUAAUUAUUGAAUAUGUAGCCAAAAUUGAAAAAGAAAAAAGAAAAGCAUUGAAAUUGCCAAAUCCUUAAUCUUGAUUCCUGUAUAGAAUCUUUGCCACCAUCAUUAAUUAUAGCGUUAUGACUGUUCCCUGGCAAAUGUAAAAGUACAAUGAAACACGAAAUGAACUUCAAUUCGAGAACGUAUACAUCAUUAUUUAACUACAAAUUGUACAAAGUUAGCAGAGAAGCCAUAAACAGAACUAGUUUUUUAUUUAAUUUUUCAUAAGCUACCAAAAUGGGGUAUACACUCUUUCAUUUCACAUUAACAUGGCUGCAAAUCAGACAUUUAAAACCAAAAAAAAAAAAAGAAAAAAGCAAGAGUGAAUAAGAGAGCAAAAGUGAGUAAAUAAAUCGGACAUUGCUUCACAAAUUUAUGUUCUAGGGAACAUAUAUAAGGCACGGAAUAACACAUUCCUUCAUAUAUAAUUGUCCAUAAGUGACAGAAACGGAAAUCGCUUGGAAAAUAUUACAACCCAUAAAACCAUUCAAAUUAAAACAUUAAUACGAGACAUCCCCACCAACGUGUAGCCAUCAAGUGCUCAGUAAUAAAUUGAGUUCACCCUGCAGUACAGAAUUGGAAAGAAUAGAAGGAUUAAUAACUUGAUUAGCAAACUUGCUAGUACUAAAUAGGAUUAAUCUUUUCUACCAUGUAUACAUUAUUAGUAGUUGAUGAAUGAUAACUGUUUAAUGAUUGAAUUUGAAAUUCAAUUUUUACACAUAUAUAUCAUGAAUCUAACAAGUGAUAGUAUAUACAUUAUGAAUGUACAUAAAAUUUACGCUACUAAAUAUUCCUCCCCUUACAUCUUUUAAUACUUUUUUUUUUGGUUGCCUGCCACGGUAUCCAGGGCUUUGCCCUGACUAAUCCGUUGGUCGACCCGGGUCGCACACCUGGCUGUGGUGGGUGAGUCUCCCAACAAGGGUAAUCAAUAUAUAGGAAAACUUUGCUUGAUGAGUGGCUAAUCAAUAUAUAGGAAAACUUUUUGGCUGCGCACAUAUGCAUUGGGGAUCCACGAACAUUGUGUAUAUCGAUCAAUGCAAUGUUACGUAUGAGUCCAAGGGAGGCUCUUAGCCAAGAAAUCAGAGAUGCACAAAUAUUCAAUACAUGGCAUGUGUGGUCAUUUUAGGAAUCCAAUAAUUUUAUGUGAAGGACAAUUAAUUGAUAUUGUCGGCCAAAUUAGAUGCUUCAAUUAAUCAAAGACUAAUCCGCUUCUUAGGCCACGAAACAAUGUCUAGAACAGUAAAAAAAAAACUUUAUAAUGAUCUGCUAAUGAUUAUGUGGGAAGUCAUGAAUCCACUCCAGUUUUAAUCCAUUUACUCCAUUCCCAUGUUUUCAGUAUUAAAAUGAUUACAGAGCAAACUAUAGCGGAUAAAUGCAAUAGAAAUAAAAAUCAAUCAUCUCAAUCAUAGAAAUAUAAAUCAAUAGUGAAUAGAAAUAAAUGCAUGGGAAAGGAUUUAUCACUUUGCUAGUCAUACGUAUAAGAGAUAGAAGAUUACUUUGAGCAGUCCAUAUUACGAGUAAUGUUGACCGGAAGUUUAACACCACAUAGUCCAGGAAUAGCAGCAGCAUUCUUGAUUUGACCAUCAGUUGCAUUUGACAAAAAAGACUUCAGACAAGAACAGACAUUUUGCCGAUCAGGUUUGGUCUUAGCUGAGUUGAUGAGAGUCUUAAUACCACUGCAGCAAGCAGGAUCAACUGUUCCCCCAUUCAUAAUAUAGCUCAGGCAUGGAUAGAGGUCAGUGGACACUGUACUACAAGGGAUUUGUGCUUGCCCUCCAGAGGAGAAACUCAUGAUCAACAUGGCCAUGAAAACUACCAGUGUUACUUGUUUGUUGAGUGCUGAUGAAUUAGCCAUAGUUGUGUCGGGAUUGCAAAUUUUGAGAAUAGGAACUGUUUGAUCUUUUUUUGGGACUUUGGAGGGUUUUCACUUGAGUUUUGUUAUAGGGUCUAUAGCAAUUUUGCUAGCUUUUUUAUAGAGGUGAAGAGGGCAAGGAAUGAGAUGAGAGGGGAUAGAUUUUGCUUUGUAGAUGCUAACUUUGUGGCUAGUUCAAUUUCUCUGGACGGUGAUCAAAGGUUUGAACAAUUAAUUGGACAAUUUGGUAACCAUCAUUAGGAAUAUGGGAAUGGAAUCAUGUUCUACUCAAUAUUUAGGACAAAAUACUGGAAUAUUAAAGACAGAAAACUUACAAAUGUAUAGCAGCAGAAGUUGCCUGAUUGGAUAAGAAUGGACUUUAAUCAGCUAAAAGUUCUAGCACCUGUUCGUAAACGGCCAAUUCGACUUGCCGGAUUGGAUUGAAAUGCUAAAAAAUGUCCUCAAAUUCAACCUUACGCUGCGGUUUUGAUUGAAAUAGUGGUGCAGGAAAUCUAGUUUAAACAGCAUAUCGUACUUGGGCCUGUUGGAGCACCUAUUUUUUGUUUGUCAAUUUUAAUUUUUAUACCAUAUAAUCUAUUAGGCCCAGGAAUUAAAGGUUUCGAAUUCGAGUAUAACUAAAUGUGGAUUCAAUUUUAGUGUAUGUUUGGUACUUAUUUCAUUAUGAUUUAAUUGUGAUGUUGCUUCUGAUAUUACCGGAUUAAUUAUAUUAUUUCUACCUUUCUAGACUAAUUUUCAUUUAUUAACUUUAGUUUCUCCGAAGGGGUUUAUACAACCAAAAUUAUUUACAUAUUUUGCCAAUCAAAUCUGUUGAAGUAAUACUUCUUCUUAUAGUUUUUACUUGAUUCUUAAACACUAUGAGUAAUUUAUACAAUUCUGGAAAAUUUAAAGUGUCUUGGAAAAGGUAAGGAACAAAAUGCAUAAUCCUUGGAUGUGAAUAGACUUGAAUUUCCUUUCAAGAAGUACGUUUCAAGUAUUGUGAAAUAUCAAAGAGUAGAUAAAACGAAGUACAUAUAUAUGACAUUGUUUAGAUUAUCAUGAAAUAAAAAAAUUAAAAAAGCGUUAAACAUUUUUUGCCAACUUUAUUGUUUAUUGCAUGUAUUGUGAUUUCGUCCUCGCAGUGAUGUCUAUGAGAUAUUCCCUUGUCUGGAUUUAUAUUCGGGAAUAUCCAUUGCAACAGAUUUAUACAUGCAUGCGCGCGCACACGCACACACAUACGCUCGUAAGCCGAUUCAGUCAAAACUCAACUCGAGUUUGGUCAAUAUUCAAACUCUAGUUCAAAGAAAAUUUUUAUAUAUGCAUACUUACAUACAUAUACAUAUAUAAAAUUUUUAUUUUGAUAGUAAAAUUACAUAAAUAUCCAUAAUAUUUUAUUAUUUGUUAACAAAAAAUUACUAUUUUAUUUAUUUUUAAAAAAAUAAAAAUUAUUUUUAUUUUUAUUUUUUUAGGCUCGAACUCGGCUUGAAUUUGAGGUCGAGUCUCAAGUUUGGUAAAAUUGAGUCGAGAGUCAACUCAAUUAGAUCAAAAUUCGACUCGAUUCAUUUGCAACUCUGCUUCUAACCAUUAUGGAUCUAACAAUUGCUGUGUCUUAGCUAGCUAAUGAGGUGGGAAACUCCAAUGUUAUUAAAUGUUACAAUAGAGUUUCAUUUUUUUUUUUUUUUUGUGAAAUACAAUUAGAAUGAUGACCAUGUAAGGGUAUUUGGUCCUUUUAAUCUUUUGGUACAACUUAAGAGACACAAAAAUAAUUGCGUUAUUGUGUGCAUGAUCCACAUCCAGUUUAUGUCAGUCCUUCAAAGUUUGUGCCUUCCCAUACUCCAAAUUCUGCACCACAAAUGUUAAUAUCCAAUUACUGUUUUCUUUCAAAAGAAAUCACUACUUAGAAUGUGUAAAAAGGGCAAAUUGCUAACAUAGUUUAUGGAAAAUUUAUGCUACACCAUUCUUGUAUAUCAAGCAUAUUGACAUGCAUCUUUGCUUCAUUUAUUAGCCAAAAUAAUGCUAAAAUACUGGUGGAAACAAAAAAUUGUGCACAAAUCACAAAGUUGUUUGUCUGCAAGGAAAGUUGUUAAAAUAACAAAUCAUCAUAAAAGAUUCUUUUUUUGGGCAAACAAUUAGACAUGUGAAUUCCAUCUAGGUUCUGUUGAGUAGGAUCAACCAAUAACAUAACACCUAUUGAUAUUACCCUGCAGAAAAACACUGAAAAAACACCUCAGUACAGAAUCUCAAUUUCUUUCAAGCCAUCCAGUAUCAGAAUCAUAGAUGAAUGCCUCAUCUUUCAUUUUCACCUUCCAAGACUUUGGAUUCAUGUUAGAAUAUGCUCCAAAGCCGCCACAUCCCCUUGCAUGUAAUUUUACUGAACGUCGUAGCAGAUCAAUUGAGUACCUUAAACUGUCCAUGGCUCCACCAGAAUUGUACAUGUCAAGCAAUCCAAUUGGAGCAAAAUGAAUCUUUCCAUCAAUGACCUGUUCCAAAUUCGAAUUACCAUCUUGAGAUUUUAGUAAGUAGUGCAGAAAAGCUACUGAAAUGAGCCAAAUGCAGGCUCAAAACUUUCAUUGGCAGACAUAACAUGCUUGCCUGAAUAGGACAGAUGGUGUAGAUUUCAUACUUUAGGACACCAAGAGGUAUCUUGAGGUUUUCUUUCUUCGACAAUGUGUGAAGAACUCCUGAAGAUAGGAUAUGACAUGGUUAUAUAUGUGAAGUUUUAGAUUAAAAAUCUAGAAUUGGGGGGCUGAAAGCUAAAUUAUGGGGCCUCAAAGCUAACCAGAACUGAAUGUAGAUACAGUACAGAUUCCAUGCCAGUUUUCACCAGCUACAUCUGCUAGUAAUUCAACAUCUUCUAGAAAUAUAUUGAUCUGUUUUAAAGAUGCUAUAGAUAUCUUACUUGGAAGAUAUCCCAGUCCACAGCUACAAUUUCCCCUUCAAACAGCCUAUUAAAAGCAACAGCUGCAAUCUGUACCUUCUUGCCAUCAACAUGACUAAAAGUUCCUUUGUGCUUGGACAAUAUUCUACACCAAUAACAAGGGCUCAAUUAGGCCUAAAGUAACGAGAAUGGAAGUUCUGAAGCAGAAUUCAUUACCAUAGCAAAUGGAAAUGCACUAGAAUGAUACUAAAUUGGCUGAUGAAGAAGCAAAGACUCUUAACUGAACCACACUUGAUAGAAUUUUUUAUCAGCUCACAUGGGUUCACCCCUGAAUUUAUGAAGAGUGCUUCCUUGACUUCACAGGUCUGAACAUUUGGAUCCCCAGGUGCAUUUGAAAAAUGAAAAUUAAGGGUAUGAAAGUUGCUCAAACAAUUAUGCAGUUUGCUGCAUAAACUAAGCACUUUCUACACACAGCUGCAGCUGAUUGUCAGAAGAUCCUUGCAAGCUAGUCCUAAAUUGUCCAUCCAGAGCAGGUAGGAACAAAGCAUGGAAAGUUCCUUUAGAAGAUGGCUCAGAAACUUCAUCAUGGAUGACAGUCUUUUCAGUGCCCUCCAAGAGAAGCACCUGAGUUUCCACAGGAACCUUACCACCUGAUUUCCAAAACUAGGUAUCAUCCACCAGAUUUUGAAUCUGACAUUGCACAAAAAUCUGUAUCCACUGCAAAGAACAUGAAAUUAUGUAAACUAAAGCACAGAACAUCACUGCUUUUGAUCAACUUGUAGCCGUAAGUACUAAUACAGAAUAUACUCACUCAAGAACACCAAGAUUGAAAACACGGCGAGAUUUCAGGCUUGUGGAACUAGGCCCAUUGAAAAUUGAUUCACCACUUGCUGGAGAACUAACAAUAUUUUCAGGUACUCCAGACAACAUGGUUUUUCCUUUAACUGUAAACAUGUCGAGGUUUUUCUACGGUAUCUAAUCCUGUCGAUCGAGGUUUCAGUUAGUAAAUCUGAUCUGGGAAAAGUUCAGUUAACAUUGUCGCAGGUAGAUCCAUAACCUUACCUGAUUAUUGAAGAAAAAAGCAUUGGAACCCUGGAUAAAGAAUAUAAUUGAUGUAACAACUAACAAGCAGGGCAAUGCAUGGUACUGCAUCGAAAGAUGCCUAGAUAGCCAUAAAUUAUGGAGCAUUUGUCAAAUUUUGUUCACGGUUGUACUUAAAUCCAUGCCAUAUAUUCAAUAUUCUUUCAAGAAACUACAACUACUUGUGCCUUUUCAUUUCAAGAAUGUUUCGUAAUAACUGUACAUAUUGAUUUGAAAAGGGAUUUCAAAAAACUACUUGGAAGUGAAUAUAUUAGCAACUUCAGCAUUACUUUAAGCAAAAUAACGACAUUCAUUGAAAAAACAAAAGCACAAAAGGGGAAAAAACCAAAAUGUUCAAAAGAAAAAUAUUUGAUGUAAUAUGUGCUCGGUGGUUUUUCUAUUUUAUCAGAACAGCCCAAAAGUUAUACAGUUACAAGAAAAUUACAAUUUUUGUCUCUAAUGUUUUAGGCGUGGACUAAAAUGGUUUAGCCUCUUAUGUUUGGAAAUGAGCCAAUAUGGUCCUUUACAAUUUGUACAGAACUAAUCUGUUGAGAAAUGCAGAUCAAAUCCAGCCAAAAAUACAUUAGUACUCAAUUUCAAGGUCCCUCAAAUUGCAGCCGCCUUGAAGGUCUAUAAUCAAUAAUCCAUUCUCAUGAUUAUACCAGAAUUUCUCCUCUUCUAUGUCCAUCUUGCAACAACUUGGUUUCGUACUUGAGUAAGCUCCAAAUCUUCCACAGCCUCGAACCCUGAUCUUUAAUGUGCCUGAAAGAUCCUUGGAGAUCCACAUUAUGUCUUCAAUGGCUCCGCCAGAAUUAUACAUGUCAAUUAAACCAAGUGGUGCAAAUUCAAGGGUUUCAUUGAAUACCUGUUUCACGUAAUAACAAAGUCAAUAAUGUUAGGCUCACGUUCGUAAAAAAUUGCAGGGAAAAAAUACUCUUGAGAAGUAUACUAACCCUGACUGGAGAGAUUGUAAAUAUUUCGCAUUUUAGCACAUCCAAAGACACUUGAAACCUUUUGUUCUUUGGCACUAUGGAAAGAUUUCCUGCAAUAUUAGUUGGCUUAAACAUUAGACACAUAUUUGCCCUGGAAGUUGGCAAUUGACUAGGAUGAUGAAAAGCAAGCUGACCUGAAUUAAAUGCAUACACUGCAGAGUCUCCAUUCCAAUUUUUUCCAACAAUCUCAUCGAGGAAUUCGACAUCACUAGGCCUUGCAUGGCUUGAUAUCAAAGAAUCUUGUGAAUGUUUGAUCGGCAAAUCGUGCACAGCUUCUUUUAAGGGCCAACUUCCUGCUCCUUGACAGUUGAAAAUUCCAAGAACUCCUGUUAGCUUAUUCAAGUUCCAUAUCUUCAGCAAGCUGUGGAGUAAUCAGACAGAAAUUGUUAGUUGAUGAUGAAAUCAUUAUUUUACCAAUUUCUCAAACUCUUCCAAUUCAAAGAAACAAUGAAAAGAGUAAUAGUCAGCGAAUCACCUCUUUCCGUCCAUAACUGGAUCGACAAAUAAGCAGUCACGAGUUGGUCUGCCAGCAUAUCUAGCUCUCAACACAGAUCCAUCAGGCAAGACAAGUUUCUUGAGGAUCUUGAUAUCAUGCUUCCCUGGCUUGUCGCUGUAGAAGUCUUAUUUAGUUUGCUUCUAAUGGAAAAUCCUACAAUUAGAUAAUGGAUGUAAAUGAGAAUGUAUCUGAUUUUGGUUUACCUUACAUACACUGCACAACCGCCAAUCGCUCUUGCUGCUCCAUGGAACUCGGCAGUAGUAUGGUUGCUCUGAAUGGAGGAUAUAAAAGCAGUCGGUCAUAUGAACUCAAAUCAUCAACAAGCAAAACUACAAGACUGGUAUUGCGUGUGUCAAUGGAGCUAAACAGAAUAGAGGUUCAACCAUAUUGUCGUAAGCCUAGAAUGUUUAGCAAAAACUUGAAAGAUUAACUUAGAAAACUCACAUGAAACAUGUCCCAAUCAGGUACUACUAUCUCCCCUAGAAGCAGACUGUUAAAAGAAACUGUUGCUAUAUGCAAAGUCUGAAAUGCUGGUUCAUUUGGCAUGAAGUCCUCUGAGGCUCUUGCUGUGGCACUUUUCUUUGAGCUGGGAAUAGAUUGAAGAAUCAGAACCAACAGUAAAAUUUUGGUGAGUUUUCAAGUAGGCAUCAUAUAGUGGCUAUUGACGAACCUGUAAAUAGAAUCAGAAUUGUGACACAUGCAGCAGAUUAAGUUAUUGUCUCUGAAGUUCUUGUCAAUGGAUUCGUCAAGAGCUCCAAGAUACUUUCUGGUAAUUGCUACUCGCCCACCAUGUCCAGAACCUAAUGUUGCAAUCACAUUUUGAACAUCAACCUUUACACCGUCUACUCCACUAUUUGCAAGAUAACUAUGGAGGUCAUUGUAGAAGUCAUAGAUUUUCUCAGGAUCUAUUGUCCCAACACCAUAUUUUUCCAAGCUGUCCAUGGCUAUAUCUCUCAAGUUUCCUAAGUUUCCAGGAGAUUGAACUGGAUAUUCAAUCUUGGGAUUGUGUUCCUUUAGUGUUUCGGAUGAAGGAAGGAGUCCACCCCAGUAACCAGCUAAUGCAUGCCACAUGUAAACGUAUCUGCAUCAAGCAAUAAUUAUUGAACUCCAGAAAUACUUCAAAACUAAAGACUCAUACUGUUAAAGAAACAUAACAGAAAUAGAUAUGUAUGGUGAUUUCUGGGACAGUACUUCAAACCACAUCUCUUCUUGACGGUUCCUAUAAAGUCCCUGAGGUUGGUUUCUGAACCAUCUGGUCCAUAGCUCUUAAAUUUACUAUUUUCCUUGAUAUCCACCAGCCUUGUAGCAAAUCUGUAAUCAAUGAAUGAGCUUAAAAGUGCUACCUUGAUAUAAUUGAUGGUGAAUUUAGCAAUAAUUAUUCAUACUCAGAAGCCUUACUGCGUUCCUUCAACAAAGGGUUGCCCUUCCUUUUGAAAUUCAUUUGCUGUCUCUUGCCAUCCAUCAUCGAUUAUCAGGAAUUUUGGAGAGCAGCCAGCUUCUGAGAAACUGAUUAAUAUGAAAUGAGAGUUAUGGCUUUAAGAGUAAAACGGUUCCAGGAAUGUCCAGUUCAAGAAAAUGUCUAAAUGCUUGAAUUAGUAGAUAAUCAAACCUUUUAAGACCCUCCAAAAUUCCAUCUGGAUCCACUUUAGUAUAAAAAGCAUCCCAUGUACACCAUCCAAACCAGUCCAAGUGUGCAGGAGUCUGUGAACAGGAGCACAAAGACACCUUAAUCUUUCCGUUCCCUAGAUUGCAAACUAAGAUUCUUCUUAGUAUUUAAUUAACUCUUCACCUUCUUGUUCUCAAUGUGAUGAAAUGUACCCUUGUGCUUUGCCAAGAGUCUGCAUCAACAGAGUUUGAAAAAUAUCAGCAUUGAAGAUCAACGAAUAAAAAAUUGGCAUAUUUCCAUCAACAGCUCAUUGAGUUGAAGCAUACUUGAUGGAGUCCUUGAUGAGUUCGAAUGGAUUGUCCCCUGCAUUGAGAAAAACUGCUUCCAACGCUUGAGAAGUUCGGACACUCGGAUCACCUUAAAAAAGUUAUAAGGAAGAACAGGUUUCAAACAGACUGAAAAAUAAUUGUGGAACUAAUCAAGAAAUUGAAACAGCGUGGUGUUAAAUGAAGCAAGCUAACCACUUUCAACGCAGAGUUGGAGCUCAUUAGAGGCUGUCCCUUGCAGACUUGCCCUAAAAGAUCCAUCCAAUACAGGUAACAACAAAAUAUAGAACUUAUUUUCAUCAGGAGCAUCAAAAGAGUCCUCAUCAACAAGAGCAGAAUCUUCUCUUGCUUCCAAGAGAAGCAUUUGAGUUUCCAUUGGUAUCUCUCUUCCAGAUUUUCCAACACGAGGUAUCAUCCACCAUAUCUUUGCGAUAAACAGACACAAGAAUUGGUAAUCCCUGGAAUGCCAGACAAGUAAAUGAGACUAUCACGUAAUGGAAAAGGUUGACAAGAUGACAUAUUUAAUCCUUAUAAAUCAUAAUGAAUUUUACAUCUACAUUUUCAUAACGCAACAGUUUUCUUAUUUACUUGUCAAAAAGGGCUCAGACUUUGUUGCAAUUCUAAUCAAUAGUAUUUGCAACAGAAUAUUGCUCUAUACUCCUGCAAUUUAAAAACCCAAUUGACCGUAAUCAGACAAAUACUUACUCGAGAACUCCAAGACCAAAAACAUGGCGAGAUGCU
rnacentral:lncRNA from 1 species